rnacentral:misc_RNA from 1 species
GAUGAAGAACGUAGCGAAAUGCGAUACGUAAUGUGAAUUGCAGAAUUCAGUGAAUCAUCGAGUCUUUGAACGCACAUUGCGCCCUCUGGUAUUCCGGAGGGCAUGCCUGUCCGAGCGUCAUUGCUGCCCUCAAGCACGGCUUGUGUGUUGGGCCCCGCCCCCCGAUCCCGGGGGGCGGGCCCGAAAGGCAGCGGCGGCACCGCGUCCGGUCCUCGAGCGUAUGGGGCUUUGUCACCCGCUCUGUAGGCCCGGCCGGCGCUUGCCGAUCAACCAAACUUUUUUCCAGGUUGACCUCGGAUCAGGUAGGAAUACCCGCUGAACUUAAGCAUAUCAAUAAGCGGAGGA